rnacentral:rRNA from 1 species
AUGAUUCUGUCGAGAAAAGAUCCCCUGCUAUCCAAACACUGCUAUGCGACAGGAGUUCCUGGCCCUGAUUGCAGUGAUGUUGCAGAGCUGCAGAAUUUAAAUCUUGGUGGCCAGUUAGAGCUACGUCGGAUGGAGAAUGUUAUAGAAGCAAAGGCAAAAGUGGCAAACAUUGGAAACAAGAAGGAUCUCAGAGAACUGACACUAAGAUGGACUUCUGUUUGUGACAGCAAGGUGCUCGACAAUUUUGAACCUCGUGAUGGGUUGCAGGUUCUCAAAAUAUAUUUCUAUGGAGGAGAGUACAUGGGUAUGUUGCAAAACAUGGUUGAGAUCCAUCUUGUUCAUUGUGAAAGAUUGCAUUUUUUGUUCAGAUGCGGAACAUCUUUCACUUUUCCAAAACUGAAGGUGCUCACGCUAGAACAUCUUUUGAAUUUUGAGACAUGGUGGGAAAUAAAUGAGAGGCAAGAAGAACGGAUUAUAUUUCCUUUGCUUGAGAAGUUGUUUAUUAGGCAUUGUGGAAAGCUGAUAGCAUUGCCGGAAGCACCCCAGUUGUUUAUUGGGAAAUGUGGAAAGCUAAUAGCAUUACCUGAAGCACUGUUGAUUGAGGAAGCCAGUAGUCGAGACUAUAGAUUGGUACGAUCACCAUUUCCUGCCCUAAAGGUACUCGAAUUGGAAAACUUGCAGAGCUUUCUGAGAUGGGAUGCAGUCGAAGGGACUCAUGUAGAACACAUGUUCUUUCCUCUGCUUGAGAAGCUAUCAGUUCAGAAAUGCCCAAAGGUAAUAGAUUUAUCUGAAGCACCAAAACUAAGUGUGUUAGAAAUUGAAGAUGGCAAGCAAGAGAUGUUAUGUUGGGUAGACAAAUAUUUGUCUUCAUUGACCAAUCUGAUACUGAAGCUAGAAGACAUAGAGAGAAGGUCAGAGGCUCAAUGCACUUUAAGUGUACCGGUGGACAGUAAUGAGAAAUGGAAUCAGAAAUCUCCUCUUACAGUUAUGGAGUUAGGAUGCUGCAACUCAUUCUUUGGAGCAGGUGCACUAGAGCCAUGGGACUAUUUUGUACACUUGAAGAAUUAA